rnacentral:lncRNA from 10 species
AGGAAACACGGCCCCUCAGAUGAACUGCUUCUGAGCCCACCGAAGUGUACUGCAAUCCAUCAAGACAGAAAAUCCUGCAUUUUGUGGUCCAGAGUAUUUGGAACUGAUUUAGCUGUACCUGGAUCCAAGUUGAUUUGCCUUCAAUCUCCCAGACUUAACUGUUGAAGUCUAUAGCACAUUAAGCAUUUAGGUCUACAGAGUCACAGCCAUUCACUGACCCGGCUCUAAUUUUCACUUGGAGUUAGUACUUUUUGAUUUGGGAUUUGUGAAAAGGCAAAAAUAUUUGUCAGACACCCACUGCCAGGAAUGCUGAUUUUAAUUUCGUGACUUCUACUGCAGAAAAAAAAAAAAAGUUAAUUUUCCCACUUGGAGUUUUUAUCCAUGGAUAUCAGGCUACAAUAUUUCCCCCAGAGUUAUCUUUCCUGCUUCCUUCUUUUGGCAAAACUUACAUGGAGGACCCAUCUGAAUUUUUAGUGCCUUUAUGGAAUUUCUGUACUUUGACCAACCAGAAGAAGGACUAUUUUUGUUAAAGAAUGUUCAUCCGAGCCAUUCCAAACAUGCCAUAGAAGCAACUGACUAUUGAAGGAGACACCCUUGCUUUGACAUUUUAUAACAAUGAUCUAUGUAAUACUUAAGACUCUUUAAAUUUGAGAUAAUAGAAAAUGUAACUCAAACUAGUUUAAACAAUAAAGUGAAUUUAUUGGCUCAUCUACCAGAGGAGUAC